AUGUUGCAGUAGUAGAAAUACAUAAUUUUAGUUCUAAAAACCAUUAAACACGUUUUUAUUUUCAAUUUCAUAAAAGAAUAUUGAAGGGCUUGGAGAAAGGCCAAUUUCUACAACUUUUGGGAUUUUCAUCUUUGAAAAGCGUGUCCCAACAGUUGAGAUAAGACCUCAACUCUAGCAAGUGAUUUCAGACUUUGAUUCAAGGUUGAGCAUCAUGACUUAACAGUUGUUGGAUCUUUCUUAUGUCAUUUAUUUUCUUUGUGCAGGAAUAAGACUAUUCCUUAGUUCAUAUUUUUGGAUAACUUGUUAUACUUAGUUUUUAGAAUUGUUUGAUGUUCUUGUACCACGACUUCAGGUUUUGGGGAUGUAAUAAUUAGAUAUGUUCCACACUUUGAUUCUUGGUUAUGAUUAUUGAUUAAGUUACGUUGUA